GCUGGGUGCAGUGGUGCACACCUGUAGUCCCGGCUACUCAGGAGGCUAAGGCAGGAGGAUCGCUUGAGCCCAGGAGGUCAAGGCUGCAGUGGCCGAUGAUCAUAUCACUGCGCUCCAGCCUGGGCAACAGAGCAAGACCCUGUCUCCA
ensembl:misc_RNA Metazoa_SRP Metazoan signal recognition particle RNA